rnacentral:rRNA from 1 species
GAUGAACGCUGGCGGCGUGCCUAAUACAUGCAAGUCGAGCGAAUGGAUUAAGAGCUUGCUCUUAUGAAGUUAGCGGCGGACGGGUGAGUAACACGUGAGUAACCUGCCCAUAAGACUGGGAUAACUCCGGGAAACCGGGGCUAAUACCGGAUAACAUUUUGAACCGCAUGGUUCGAAAUUGAAAGGCGGCUUCGGCUGUGACUAAGGGCAGGACCCGCGUCGCAUUAGCUAGUUGGUGAGGUAACGGCUCACCAAGGCAACGAAGCGUAGCCGACCUGAGAGGGUGAUCGGCCACACUGGGACUGAGACACGGCCCAGACUCCUACGGGAGGCAGCAGUAGGGAAUCUUCCGCAAUGGACGAAAGUCUGACGGAGCAACGCCGCGUGAGUGAUGAAGGCUUUCGGGUCGUAAAACUCUGUUGUUAGGGAAGAACAAGUGCUAGUUGAAUAAGCUGGCACCUUGACGGUACCUAACCAGAAAGCCACGGCUAACUACGUGCCAGCCGCCGCCGUAA